rnacentral:misc_RNA from 1 species
AUCGGAAUGAUACUCGAGCUUUGGCUGUAAAAUUAUUCGCUCAAUGACCAUAAGAAGAAAGAUAUGAGAAGAUCGACGGUUUUGUCAAUUUUCUGACUUUUGCGUCAUUUGUUUGCCAAAAAAGAAUAUUCUAAUGUAACGUUGUCAGUUGCAGAGAAAAAUGGGGUAAAUCUACAAAGAGCCAAGGAUAUAUUCUGUCACACGAAAGAAUUCAAAGAUACUAUUCAAAUUCAAUGCUGUAGGACCUAAUGAUCUAAGGCGACAAAAUAAUCUCCUCAUAAACCGAGUAACCGCUGAAAAUGUUUCCAAUGCUUGCAAGAUCGGUGGAGAAACGUAACGAUUUUGCCUCCUUCACUUUGAGUACCAACAUAAUAGAAGAGGGAUAACUGCAAAAUUCUCACUUCCAAUAUGAUCCUUACUACAGAAAGCAACUAGCUACGAGU